CGAAGCCUGACGGAGCAAUACCGCGUGAGGGAAGAAGGCUUUUGGGUUGUAAACCUCUUUUGUCAGGGAAGAAGAAUUGACGGUACCUGAAGAAUAAGCAUCGGCUAACUCCGUGCCAGCAGCCGCGGUAAUACGGAGGAUGCAAGCGUUAUCCGGAAUCAUUGGGCGUAAAGGGUCCGCGGGUGGCGAAUAAAGUCUGCUGUUAAAGACCGGGGCUAAACUCCGGAAAGGCAGUGGAAACUGAUUAGCUAGAGUACGGUAGGGGUAGAGGGAAUUCCCAGUGUAGCGGUGAAAUGCGUAGAUAUUGGGAAGAACACCGGUGGCGAAAGCGCUCUACUAGGCCGAAACUGACACUGAGGGACGAAAGCUAGGGUAGCGAAAGGGAUUAGAUACCCCUGUAGUCUUAGCUGUAAACGAUGGAUACUAGGCGUAGCUUGUAUCGACCCGAGCUGUGCCGAAGCUAACGCGAUAAGUAUCCCGCCUGGGGAGUACGCACGCAAGUGUGAAACUCGAAGGAAUUGACGGGGGCCCGCACAAGCGGUGGAGUAUGUGGUUUAAUUCGAUGCAACGCGAAGAACCUUACCAGGGCUUGACAUGUCGCGAAUCUGGCGGAAACGUUAGAGUGCCUUAGGGAACGCGAACACAGGUGGUGCAUGGCUGUCGUCAGCUCGUGUCGUGAGAUGUUGGGUUAAGUCCCGCAACGAGCGCAACCCUCGUCCUUAGUUGCCAAUAUUAAGUUAGGCACUCUAGGGAGACUGCCGGGGACAACUCGGAGGAAGGUGGGGAUGACGUCAAGUCAGCAUGCCCCUUACGUCCUGGGCGACACACGUACUACAAUGGUUGGGACAAAGGGCAGCAAGCUCGCGAGAGUAAGCGAAUCUCAUCAAACCCAGCCACAGUUCAGAUUGCAGGCUGCAACUCGCCUGCAUGAAGUAGGAAUCGCUAGUAAUCGCAGGUCAGCAUACUGCGGUGAAUUCGUUCCCGGGCCUUGUACACACCGCCCGUCACACCAUGGAAGCUGGCUACGCCCGAAGUCGUUACCCUAACCCGGUUUUGGGAGGGGGAUGCCGAAGGUAGAGCUAGUGACUGGGGUGAAGUCGUAACAAGGUAGCCGUACCGGAAGGUGUGGCUGGAUCACCUCCUUU
rnacentral:rRNA from 1 species